ensembl:misc_RNA Metazoa_SRP Metazoan signal recognition particle RNA
GCCGGGCGCGGUGGUGCGCCUGUAGUCCCAGCUACUCGGGAGGCUGAGGCAGGAGGAUCGCUUGACCCCAGGAGUUCUGGGCUGUAGUGCGCUAUGCCGAUCGGGUGUCCGCACUAAGUUCGGUAUCAAUAUGGUGACCUCCUGGGAGCGGGGGACCACCAGGUUGCCUAAGGAGGGGUGAACCGGCCCAGGUCAGAGUCACACAGCGAGGACUUGGGAGAAAUAGGGUCUCAAACUGUCAGGCUAGCCCAGAAUUCCCACCUCUUCACGUGAUAACCAUCAUUA